rnacentral:rRNA from 1 species
UACGGAGGGUGCAAGCGUUGUCCGGAAUCACUGGGCGUAAAGCGCGCGUAGGUGGCUUCGUAAGUCCGUUGUGAAAGUCAAAGGCUCAACCUUUGAAUGCCGAUGGAUACUGCAGAGCUAGAGUACGGAAGAGGCGAGUGGAAUUCCUGGUGUAGCGGUGGAAUGCGCAGAUAUCAGGAGGAACACCAAUAGCGAAGGCAGCUCGCUGGGACGUACUGACACUAAGGCGCGAAAGCGUGGGGAGCGAACAGG